GCCUCCCAAAGUGCUGAGAUUACAGGUGUGAGCCACCCUGCCCAGCCGUCAAAAGAGUCUUAAUAUAUAUAUCCAGAUGGCAUGUGUUUACUUUAUGUUACUACAUGCACUUGGCUGCAUAAAUGUGGUACAAGCAUUCUGUCUUGAAGGGCAGGUGCUUCAGGAUACCAUAUACAGCUCAGAAGUUUCUUCUUUAGGCAUUAAAUUUUAGCAAAGAUAUCUCAUCUCUUCUUUUAAACCAUUUUCUUUUUUUGUGGUUAGAAAAGUUAUGUAGAAAAAAGUAAAUGUGAUUUACGCUCAUUGUAGAAAAGCUAUAAAAUGAAUACAAUUAAAGCUGUUAUUUAAUUAGCCAGUGAAAAACUAUUAACAACUUGUCUAUUACCUGUUAGUAUUAUUGUUGCAUUAAAAAUGCAUAUACUUUAAUAAAUGUAUAUUGUAUUGU
rnacentral:lncRNA from 1 species